ensembl:misc_RNA Metazoa_SRP Metazoan signal recognition particle RNA
ACCAGUAACACUAGAUUUAGCUAUAGUCCCAGCCACUUAGGAGGUUUGUAUGGGAGGAUCUCUUGAACCCAGGUGAUCUGGGUUGUGUGUGCUAUGCUAAUCAGAUGCUCACACUAAGUUCAGCAUGAAUAUGAUGACCUCCAGGGAAUGAAGGACCACUAGGUUGCCUAAGAAGGAGGGCACUGGUCCAGUCUGGAAACCAAGUGAGUCAAAACUCUCAUGCUGAUCACUAGGGGGAUAGCAUCUGGGAAUGGUCACUGCACUCCAAUCUGGGCAACAAAGCGUAAUCCCAUU